rnacentral:lncRNA from 1 species
CACAUAAUUGAGUGGUUUUUUCCUAUAUAUUGUAGUUAGACUAACUACUUCGGACCCAAUAAGUUUGGGGACCAUAUUGUACUUAAAAGUGAUCUAGGUACAUUGGAGAAGCAUUGUUGUCUUGGCUUAUUCAUAAAGAAGGUGGUGUCACCACGAGGGAAUUAGUGCCAAGAGUAUAUGACUCAGUCAUUACUACUCCAUACCAAUGCUUUCUCGAUAACAAGUAUUUACUUCAUGCAUGUAUAUAAUUAAGUAGAGUCAACCUUGAGUAGAUUGCAUCAUAG